GGUUGACCUCGGAUCAGGUAGGAAU
rnacentral:rRNA from 15 species